CUCUUUGAACCUGGAAGAAGGAAGAGGAGGAGUUGCCUGGAGCAGCUUGAGAAACCAUCAUUUAAAUUACAAGCCUGGGAAUAUCUUUGGCUGUGAAGAAGAAGGACGUUUCCAUUCUUCUGCUGGACUGAUAGAACAGACCACCCUUGGAUAUUUCUCUUGGGACUUUGGACUUUGCCCACCAAAAGACUCUAUUUUUACAACCCCUUCUGAUCAUUGAAACCUCAGGAAGAUAAUUUUCCAUCCCUUUUUGGGUUCUGGCAGAUGGAUUUUGUCCAGCUCCCUCCUGUGAAUGGUUGUAUCAGCAUAAUAUUUAUUUCACGAAAUUUUACCAAGACUCUUUCUUUACCAUGAAAAGGAUUACUUCUUCUAGAACUUGCUUUCUUGAAGAGGAGGAAUCAUCUCUGGUCAAGAGAACUUUGGGACAUUAAUUAAAUGUCUCUAGAGUUGAGAACCUUGAUUCAGUGGCAAGUGGAGGUGCCUACCAAUCAGAACAGCUGAACUCAGGGCUAAAUUCAUGAAAAUGAAAGGUUUAGGGCUUUGUUUCUGGACUAUGAAGAUGUAAGGAAUUUAAUUAAGAGUUUGACUAAAAUAUAUGAGAAAUUUAAGAUACUACUAUGGUCAUCGAUUUUAAAAUUAAUAUAGCCCAAGUCAAAAUGACUUUUAGCGGCUUUUAUUUAUAAAAAAAAAAAAGAGAAAGGGAAAUUAGAGAAAUAUGAAAGUGGGUAGAGUAAGAAGUCUAGCUUAUCAUCCUAAAUGUUGUUCCUGUCCCCAGCUCAACAGAGGGACUUGGUGUUGGUUCAACCCAAAAGGACUCCUCCAAGAAAGGGAAGCCUCUCUGGAACUAAUAUCUCCAGAAGCCAGGAAAGGAAGUGAAUGGAAAUAUAUUUAAUCCCUAUCCUUUACAUCACUCAGAUUUUCAUAACAAACUCAGGAAGUCCAACAGAUAAGAUGAGUAAAUAAUAAUGAUGCAAUGUACCCACAUAAUGCAUUUUGAAGAAAAAUAUAAAUAUGUCAAUUAUGAUCCAGAAGAAAAGCCUUACUAAUCCAAAUAUUUUGAGUUGCAUUUUUUUCUUAUUUUAUGGGAUGGAGAAAGCUACUGUUGGUAACGAUGAUGAUAUAAGAAACAGAAGAUAUCAGUAAAAAUGUAUUUUUUUAAAGUAACGUUGCUAUACAAAAAUGCCAUUCAUUAUCUUUUUUCUCUCAUCUGUAUUCCCACCUUCCUAUACUCUGUACCAAGGAUAUUCUUCCUAAUAAAAGUGAUGGAAAUUUUUAUUUUGUUUCA
rnacentral:lncRNA from 1 species